UCAAAUUGGAUAGCUUAGAAUGUGACAUAAAAUUUGAAUUUUUUUAAAAAAAAACCUUUGAGUCUAGUUAAUGAUAUAUUGACAAUCAUUUGAUUUGAAAUCUGAUAGACAAAAAUGAUUAUGAUCUCUUGAAAUUAAAAGUAAAUCAUCUCUCUAUAUACUUUUUAUGAGUUUGCAACCAAAAUAUGUUAAAAGAAGUGAACAAGCUUGUUGCAUGUUCUAUAGUAUAUAGUUUGACUAGAGGGGUGCACCCUAUGGUGUGGCAUAUAAAACGAGGAGCUAGUAGGAAUGGAAAUGGGACUUGGCAGGCAUUUAAUCUUUCGCCUUUGCUUUUCAAUAAAAAUUUAAUUCUUCUAAAAUUAU
rnacentral:lncRNA from 1 species